rnacentral:rRNA from 1 species
AGAUCACGUAAAAUUUUAAUAGUCGAACAGACUAAAUCAUCAUAGCUCCUUCACCAUGCAUUUAUUUUAAUUCAACAUCGAGGUCACAAACUUAAUUCUCAAUAAGAACUCACUAAUUAAAUAAUGCUGUUAUCCCUAGAGUAGUUUCUUUAACUAAAAUAAAAUCAUAAAAAUUCACAUCUUCACUGAUUGCCCCAACCAAAAAUGAUACAUUUUAAACUUCUAGGGUCUUCUCGUCCCAAGGUUAAAUAAAAGCCUUCUUACUUUUAAGUUAAAUUCAAGAAUCACCAUAAAAAACUCUCCUCUUAGUAUCUACCCUUCAUUCCAGUCCCCAAUUAAAGGA